rnacentral:lncRNA from 1 species
UUAAGGAAGGACACACCCGCCUAUGGUUAGAAGGAGCAAACGAGCCCACCAUUCUGCCCCUGUGAUAGCUACCCUUUUGAGGAAGAACAUUCCAGAACAGAAGACUAGAGACAGAAACUGGUUGCCUUUGUUACCAAGAAGCUCUUGAAAAAUGCAGCAUCAGCCAGAAUCUAAAUUUGUGCAAAUGGGUCAACAGGAAAUUUCACCCAGUCAGACCAACUUCACAAAGGCCCCAUGGGGGCUCUACCACUCAGAGAGCCCUGUUAAGAAAAUUGCCACUUUCAGCCAGACCCUGAGGGCGACGCGGAAGUCUCACCAAGUUCUUCACACCCCUUGUGGCUUCUCCUCCUGGGCUGCAGCUUCUGAGGCACGGGAGCCCCAUCUUCUGGAAUUUUCCCCACACUCUUUCUCUACUGGAGUGAUGGGUUCCUUCCCCGGACAGUAUUCGUUCUGUCCCCUUGUCACCCGUCAUGUCAUCUUUGGCUGGAACGGGCUCAGACAAAGAAUGCUGAAGGAAUGGAUGAAUGAUGAAGCAAUGAGCCAGGUAGCAGUGGUUGGAGAAUUCUGUUUCGCUCCAUUUGACUUACCUCCAUGGAGGCAGCGCUUUGGGGAAUGGGGAAUUACGGUCCCCUUUUAAAAAGAUCUGAAUAGUUCAAAAUCACAGGGAAACCAGUUCAUAGUCCUCUUUUCAUUCAAAGAUGCUGUAUUCCAGUCAUCUUACACCCAGGAUACAGGUCAGAGAAAGGUUAGCCGACUGAGGCAGAGAAGAGGCCAGGAGCCUCAGGAAGGGCCGAGCUGGCAUUCCAACCCUGGAAUGUCCGACUGAAAUCUGGGCUGUUUUCCUGUCCACACCACCUCAUGUCCCCCACCUGGCUGCCCUUAAGGUGAAUAUUCUGUUGGAAACAGAAGGCCUUAUCAAAAAUGGAAACUUGGGGCCCUUGUGUCCGAAGAAAC